rnacentral:rRNA from 1 species
GACGAACCGUGCGAACGUUGUUCGGAAUCACUGGGCUUAAAGGGCGCGUAGGCGGCUCAUCAAGUCGGGGGUGAAAUCUUUCGGCCUAACCGGAAAAGUGCCUUCGAUACUGGUGAGCUUGAGCGAGGUAGGGGCGGAUGGAACUUCCGGUGGAGCGGUGAAAUGUGUUGAUAUCGGAAGGAACGCCGGUGGCGAAAGCGAUCCGCUGGACCUCUUCUGACGCUGAGGCGCGAAAGCUAGGGGAGCAAACGGG